AGGGUCGACAGAGAGAGAGGGUAGACAAAGAGAGAGGGUAGACAGAGAGAGAGGGUAGACAGAGAGAGAGGGUAGACAGGGAGAGAGGGUAGACAAAGAGAGAGGGUAGACAGAGAGAGAGGGUAGACAGAGAGAGAGGGUAGAUAGAGAGGGAGGGUAGACAGAGAGAGAGGGUAGACAGAGAUGGAGGGUAGACAGAGAGAGAGGGUAGACAGAGAUGGAGGAGAGAGAGAGAGAGAGAGAGAGAGAGAGAGAGAGAGGGUAGACAGAGAGAGAGGGUAGACAGAGAGGGUUGACAGAGAGAGAGGGUCGACAGAGAGAGAGAGGGUUGACAGAGAGAGAGAGGGUAGACAGAGAGAGAGGGUAGACAAAGAGAGGAUAGACAGAGAGAGAGGGUAGACAGAGAGAGAGGGUAGACAGGGAGAGAGGGUAGACAAAGAGAGAGGGUAGACAGAGAGAGAGAGGGUAGACAGAGAGAGAGAGAGGGUAGACAGAGAGAGAGAGGGUAGACAAAGAGAGAGGGUAGACAGAGAGAGAGGGUAGACAGAGAGAGAGGGUAUUCAGAGAGGGUUGACAGAGAGAGAGGGUAGACAGGGAGAGAGGGUAGACAGAGAGAGAGGGUAUCUGACAGGGAGAGAGGGUAGACAGAGAGAGAGGGUAGACAAAGAGAGAGGGUAGACAAAGAGAGAGGGUAGACAGAGAGAGAUGGAGGGUAGACAGAGAGAGAGAGGGUGGACAGGGAGAGAGGGUAGACAGAGAUGGAGGGUAGACAGAGAGAGAGGGUAGACAGAGACAGAGGGUAGACAGAGAGAGAGGGUAGACAGAGAGAGGGUAGACAGAGAGAGAUGGAGGGUAGACAGAGAGAGAGAGGGUGGACAGAGAUGGAGGGUAGACAGAGAUGGAGGGUAGACAGAGAGAGAGGGUAGACAGAGAGAGAGGGUAGACAGAGAGAGAGGGUGGACAGAGAGAGAGGGUAGACAGAGAUGGAGGGUAGACAGAGAGAGAG
rnacentral:lncRNA from 1 species